ensembl:lncRNA
AUGUUAACCAAAAUAUUACUCUGUUCUCCACCCUACGCAUCAGCUCAGCUUAUGUUGGCCAAAAAUCUGAGAGCGAAUGCAAGAGCUAACCAGUUCAUACAUGCCUGUUUCCAAUGGAAGAAUAACUGCACUGCAUCUACUUCAACUGCAAACGGCUUGUCUGGUGCUAAGAAAAAGGUGAACCUGGCUGAACCUGAAGAAAAUGGUACUUAUUUUCAAAUUCAAAUGGAGCAGUGUGACAAAGCACCUCAAGAAACCCGAACUGCAGCACACAUAAAGGGAACCCCAGAACUUCGGUCACCACAAAGUGAAAUUGUAGCCCAGGUUAAGUCAGUUGGAACUAUCCAGAAUCUCUGA